GGAGCAACCUCCUCUGCCUCAACAGACCAGCCUCCACUGCUGCAGAUCAACAACAUCUAACGUCAUAUCAAGCACUCCAGCUACCUGCAGUGAAACACAGCCUGCAGCAGAUUUGCCUGUAGGUGAAGGAACAACAGACACAACAUCCACUGCUACUACUCUACAGCCUACAGACACCAACAACUGGAACAGAUCCUGAAGUAUGUGAGUCCAUCAAGGAAGCACCUAUAGAUCCUGCUGACCGGCAGCCCUGUCUGAUAUGAUGAGGACAGAGCAGAGGCCAUAUCAGGUAAAAUAAGACUGAAGUUCCCAUCACCACCAUGUUUAGAGAACAUUAGUGAAUGGAGAGAAAAUCAAGAGAGGUUGGGUGGUUCCAAGAAAAAAAAUCUUUAUUGCUUCUGCUGCAAACUGAUCAGUAAUGCACUCAAUGACUGAAAAAAUUGCAAUGAAAUACUCAAAAGCCAUGAGAACAGUCCAGAACAUUUUAGGCACAUGACAUGAUGGAAGGAGUCAUCUAUCCAGUGUAAUCUAUCAAUA